rnacentral:rRNA from 1 species
GAUGAACGCUAGCGGCAGGCUUAAUACAUGCAAGUCGUACGGGAUCCGAGGUAGCAAUACUUUGGUGAGAGUGGCGCACGGGUGCGUAACACGUAUGCAACCUACCUAUAACCGGGACACAACCUCGAGAAAUUGAGGCUAAUAUCCCAUAACACUGCGAGAUGGCAUCAUUUUGCAGUUAAAACUCCGGUGGUUAUAGAUGGGCAUGCGCGACAUUAGCUAGUUGGUGAGGUAACGGCCCACCAAGGCUACGAUGUCUAGGGGUUCUGAGAGGAUUAUCCCCCACACUGGUACUGAGACACGGACCAGACUCCUACGGGAGGCAGCAGUAAGGAAUAUUGGUCAAUGGGCGCAAGCCUGAACCAGCCAUGCCGCGUGAAGGAUGACGGCCCUAUGGGUUGUAAACUUCUUUUGUACGGGAAAAACCACCGGUCGUGAAUCGGUGCUGAUGGUACCGUAAGAAUAAGCAUCGGCUAACUCCGUGCCAGCAGCCGAC